CCGAGUUAAAUACUCCAAACCACCGCGAACAUACCACGUUGUGCCUCGGCGGGCGGCUCCAGGGCGGAGCCAUCUGCCCCCCCCCCUAGGGGGGUGCCCGCCGGCGGACCACCAAGCUUUGUCGUCUCUAGUGUAUUCAGAGGACCCGCGUCAGCGGGAUCAAAACCAUCA
rnacentral:misc_RNA from 1 species